AACGAACGCUGGCGGCAUGCUUAACACAUGCAAGUCGAACGAGAAACCCGGGCCUAGUGGCGCACGGGUGAGUAAGGCGUGGAAACCUGCCCUAAGGUUCGGAAGAACUGGCAGAAAGGGGUGAUAAUAGCGGAAAAUGUCGUCGGACAAAGGAUCUAUCGGGGUUGGAUGGGGCCGCGUUAGAUUGGCUGGUUGGUAGUGUAAAAGCAUAACAAGGCGACGAUGCUUAGCUGGUCGGAUAGCAUGACCAGCCACGCUGGAACUGAGACACGGCCCAGACUCGUACGGGAGACAGCAGAAUAGAAUAUUGUACGCUGAACGCAAGCCUAAUCCAGCAAUGCCGCGUAUGUGAUGCUUCCCGUAGUAUUGUAAUGCUCUUUUACCCGGAAUGAUAAUGACAGUACCGGGAGAAUAAGCUCCGGCUAACUCCGUG
rnacentral:rRNA from 1 species